rnacentral:rRNA from 1 species
UACGGAGGGAGCUAGCGUUAUUCGGAAUUACUGGGCGUAAAGCGUACGUAGGCGGCUUUGCAAGUUAGAGGUGAAAGCCUGGAGCUCAACUCCAGAACUGCCUUUAAAACUGCAUCGCUUGAAUCCAGGAGAGGUGAGUGGAAUUCCGAGUGUAGAGGUGAAAUUCGUAGAUAUUCGGAAGAACACCAGUGGCGAAGGCGGCUCACUGGACUGGUAUUGACGCUGAGGCACGAAAGCGUGGGGAUCAAACAGG